GAGGAGGAGGAGGAGGAGGAGGAGUUGGAGGAGAUGAUUUCCCUUCAUGGUGUCUUUAGGUUCAGAGGGUAAAACUGUAAUGAUCUAGAACCCAAGUUACCCAAAUUGCUAAAGAGUUAAUUUGGGUUUUGUUUUGCCCACUUUUCUAGGGUGGAUAUCAAAAUUGAGAAAUUAAUCUGAAAUCUGUUCUUUACCUAAAACGGCAAAGGAAAAAUAAUUGAACAAAGACACCACUGUUCUUGCAAAGUUAGCGUAUUUGUUUCCAUUACCUACUUACGUCUUUGAACGCCUGUGUGGAAACAGUUAUACAACCUGUGCAUAUAUCUACCUAUUAUACAGCAUGCACAUCUGUAUGUGUGUGUGUGUGUGUCUGUGUGUCUGUGUGUCUGUGUGUCUGUCUCUCUAUCUGCCUGUCAAUCAAUCAAUCAAUCAAUCAUCUAUUUGCUAUCAUCCCACCCUCCUUUUUACUAUGCUUACGUGACCAGAGUUAUAUAAUUCACAUAUACUUUCUUUUUAUUUAUUUUUCCUUCUCUUCCCUCCCUUCCUUCCCCUUUUCUUCCCUUCAAGUUCUCUCUAGUCACUCUAUCUAUGUCUUACAAUGCUUCUGUGCUGGUUACAUCUCUCUCUCAUUCUCUAUCUCUCUGUCUCUCUCUCUCUGUCUUUCUCUCUCUCUCUCUCUCUCUCUCUCUCGCAGUUGGUACCCCCUACUACGAUAGUAUCUUUGGGGUGCUAUCUGUUCCUGGUACAAAAGGAUGGUUAGCCUGUAUACCAAGCUAUCACAGUAUAUAGACAGUUCUGGGGAAAUGACCCAUCUGUUCACCUCUCUGAGGAUGAGAGCAAAGCUCCUGACUGUGAAGUUUCCUCCCUCCCCACCCCACAUCCUACAAAGGUAUCACAGGUAAAACCACCAAUCGCAGGAACUAGCACUUUCAGCAUCAAGACUUUCAUUUUAAACUCACUGUAGUAUUUUUUGCUCACUCCCAAAGAAGAAGAAAGGAGAGAAAGACAGAGAAAUAGAGCAAGAAGAAAAAUGAAAACAAACAGAACAGAGAAGUUAGAACUGCUGGUCUCAAACAAUUGAACUUCUCUAUCCUCUGAACCCUAUAGUGAGAGCCAAGAGUUCACUAUACAGAUGCACUCUGUGGACAUCGAGUACUCUUCAUUCUAGAUGGUAUGAAGUAAGAAAAGCCUCUGCAUAUUACUUAUGUAAUUCAUCCUUGCUAUAAAUACCAGCAGGAAAGAGCCCAGAAAAUUGUGAAGUAGCCUCUUCUGGGCUCCGGUCCCAUAGCCAGGAAACGUAAGCAUUGGUUUGUUUCCUGGUCACCAGUGAUGUUGCUGAAGGGACAGAGAUAAGAAGCUCAAGUCUGUACAAGGCAGUCAUUUCUGAGGAUUUCACUGACCUGUGGCCAAGCCAGGUUGACAGAAAUGAAAACAUCAGAAAUCCUUUCUUGCCUGAACCGUAUACACAUAGAGAAGAACUGAAAAUACUCAUUUCCGCCCAAAUUACCUAUCACUCCAAGCUACUGAGUGCUCUAACCCAAAGGCAGUAAGACGUACAGAACAUAGACUGGCCAUCUAUGCAUAUGCCUACAGGUAUCUACAAGGCACAUGAGUAAAACCCCCCUUGGUUAUAGCUGAUAUUCAAGUUGGCCAAAUCCAUGCUUGGAAGCACGGGGAGUGUACUCAGGAUUUAUUUUGUUCAGACGUACCAACAUGUUUCAGUUUUUCAUCACUAGCAUGUGCAUCCUCAACACUUAGGCAGUUUUCAUGUGGACCUACUAUGUGCUGCUCUCUGCCCUACUAUGCGUCAAUAUAUCCUUUCAUUCUUGAAAAGCUGGACGGGAGAGCUUGCAUUUUUUUCAAAUGAUCAUUUUCACACAUGACUGCUAAAACUCAGUUUUGUUUCCUGGUCACAUAAUCAGAAAAGCUGCGACAAAGCAUGCCUGGUCCCUAGUUAAAUGUGUUUUCCAUCACAACAGACCUGGCUAAGAAUAAUCAUACCAUGGCUGAUAGGAUAAUUAUUUUUAAAAGUUUCAUCUAAUCAUUAUCUAAAUAAGAUUGCCUUUCAGAGAAGAUAUUAUGCACACUUAGACAACAAACCUUGUUUCACAUUUAUUUAUUUAAACACAGUCUCAAUAGACAGUCCAGCAUACACUGUAACUAGUGACACAGCUCAUGCUGGCCCCAAACUCAGCAGCCCUCCUGCCUCAGCCUGUGGAGUGCUGGGAUUCUCGAUGUGUGUCACCACACAGACCCUGCAUUUUUUUUAAACCUGUGAAGAACCAUUGUUAACAUGGUUUCCAAAGAUUUUCCUGAGAAUAAACUGUAUGCUGAACUGGUC